rnacentral:rRNA from 1 species
UACGAAGGGGGCUAGCGUUGUUCGGAUUUACUGGGCGUAAAGCGCACGUAGGUGGUUUGUUAAGCUAGAUGUGAAAGCCCCGGGCUCAACCUGGGAAUUGCAUUUAGAACUGGCAAGCUAGAGUAGGGUAGAGGGGUGUGGAAUUCCAGGUGUAGCGGUGAAGUGCGUAGAUAUCUGGAGGAACAUCAGUGGCGAAGGCGGCACCCUGGACUCAUACUGACACUGAGGUGCGCAAGCGUGGGGAGCAAACAGG